UUGAAACACCAGUUCCCAUACAACCACCAAAGUUAAGCAAUAUUGAGCCUGGUCAGUACCAAAAUGGGUGACCACUUGGGAAUAACAGAUGCUGUAAG